rnacentral:rRNA from 1 species
UGGGGAAUAUUGCACAAUGGGCGCAAGCCUGAUGCAGCCAUGCCGCGUGUAUGAAGAAGGCCUUAGGGUUGUAAAGUACUUUCAGCGGGGAGGAAGGUGAUAAGGUUAAUACCCUUGUCAAUUGACGUUACCCGCAGAAGAAGCACCGGCUAACUCCGUGCCAGCAGACGAGGUAAUACGGAGGGUGCAAGCGUUAAUCGGAAUUACUGGGCGUAAAGCGCACGCAGGCGGUCAAUUAAGUCAGAUGUGAAAGCCCCGAGCUUAACUUGGGAAUUGCAUCUGAAACUGGUUGGCUAGAGUCUUGUAGAGGGGGGUAGAAUGCCAUGUGUAGCGGUGAAAUGCGUAGAGAUGUGGAGGAAUACCGGUGGCGAAGGCGGCCCCCUGGACAAAGACUGACGCUCAGGUGCGAAAGCGUGGGGAGCAAACA